rnacentral:rRNA from 1 species
UACGUAGGGCGCAAGCGUUAUCCGGAAUUAUUGGGCGUAAAGAGCUCGUAGGCGGUUUGUCGCGUCUGCCGUGAAAGUCCGGGGCUCAACUCCGGAUCUGCGGUGGGUACGGGCAGGCUAGAGUGCGGUAGGGGAGACUGGAAUUCCUGGUGUAGCGGUGAAAUGCGCAGAUAUCAGGAGGAACACCGGUGGCGAAGGCGGGUCUCUGGGCCGUAACUGACGCUGAGGAGCGAAAGCAUGGGGAGCGAACAGG